GCCAGGUGUGGUGGUGCACACCUGUAAUCCCAGCUACUCAGGAGGCUGAGGCAGGAGAAUUGCUUGAACCUAGGAGACGGAGGUUCUAGUGAGCUGAGAUCGCACCACUGCACUCCAGCCUGGGCAACAGAGCAAGACUCUGCCUCAA
ensembl:misc_RNA Metazoa_SRP Metazoan signal recognition particle RNA